rnacentral:lncRNA from 1 species
AAUCUGGGUAGUAUUUAUAUUCUUAGUUUCUCUCUUUGAGUUUUAAAUACCCUGCAGUUUUUUCCUUAUCUUUAUCUCAGUCUUAAAUAUAAGUACCUGAGUUUUAGAAGUUUAAAGAGGCUUCCUUCAAACCAGGAUCAUAAAAAUAGUUAUGCAUAUUUUCUUCUAUUAAUUUCAAGCCUUCAAGAUAACUUUUAAAUUGUUGAUCCGUCUGGAAUUUAUUUUGGUAUAAAAGUAAGGAAAACAAAUUACAAAAGUAACCUAUGCUUGCUAUAACAAAGUCAAACAAUACAGACAUGUGGAGAAUAAGCCUUGACAACCUCUCUCUCUUCCCCUUUAACAACACAUCCCAGAGGAAACUCCAAUCAGCUGCUUGUUGAGCGUCCAUCCUUUCAGAUGUUCUCCCAUUCUUAUGCAUAAACGCGUUUCAUGAAGAAGAGCUACCAAAAUAUCAGUGACAUUUUGACUAGGAUUUCAAUAAAUAUUUGUAAAGAUGUAUUUUCCUUAACGUUUCUGGCUUCCAAAUCAUGUAAUGCCUCAGCAUUUCAGGUUUUUUUAAUGUGUAUACCAGUAUAAC